CUGCCACCGCCUCAUCACGGCACAGUUCAUGAGACUGGAACUCUAGGGGACAGACCCCAGAAUCCCAAGUGGCUGGAGCACUGGGGGACACCCGGAGAGAGCUCUCACUGGACCAAGUCCUCCAGGAACGAGAUGAAGCCAUUGCCAAGAAACGAGCAGUGGAGGCUGAGCUGGAGACCUGCAGAGCCAAGUUGCGAGCUGUGGAGGCCCAGCUGCUGGAGGUCUUGGAGGAGAAACUGAGACUGAGGCAGGAGGUGGAGGCCUGGGAGGAAGACAUGCAGCAGCUGGUGAGGCGGCAGGUGGACAGUCAGCUUCAAAGAGAGUCCAGGAGCAGUAUGAGAGCCCCCGUGAACCCCGGAGCUGCCAGGGACCCCUGGUAUCGAUUCUCCCAGGGUCACUGGCGGUGACAGAGCUUAGCCCAGGACCUUGGGAGCAGUGUCUUUAUUCAUUAAAGCAGGAGGUGUGACAACCUCUGCAGCCUUGU